rnacentral:lncRNA from 1 species
AGAUCAAUGAAAUCAAAUUCUCUAAAUUAUUAAGUCCAUAAAGUGAUAAAGUUAUGAGAUAACUUGAUCAUUGCCCUCCAUUAAUGUGUGUGAUAAUGAGUCGAAUAUUUCAAAUAGGCAUUGGAGGCGCCACACGCUUGAUGUCUAUUACGUAUUGAAAUUAUAAUUCAUCAUAUGACCAUCAUGAUGUACCUUCAGAUCAAUACUC